rnacentral:rRNA from 1 species
GGAUUAGAUACCCUGGUAGUCUACGCCGUAAACGAUGGUUACUAGCUGUUUGGACGAUUGAGUCUGAGUGGCUAAGCGAAAGUGAUAAGUAACCCACCUGGGGAGUACGUUCGCAAGAAUGAAACUCAAAGGAAUUGACGGGGGCCCGCACAAGCGGUGGAGCAUGUGGUUUAAUUCGAUGAUACGCGAGGAACCUUACCAGGGCUUAAAUGCAGUCUGACGUAUCUGGAAACAGAUAUUUCUUCGGACAGAUUGCAAGGUGCUGCAUGGUUGUCGUCAGCUCGUGCCG